UCCGAGUUGACCCCGGCAGUCUUCGAUGAGUCCCCGCCAUAACGCGCUGGCAACAUAGAACGAGGGUUGCGCUCGUUGCGGGACUUAACCCAACAUCUCACGACACGAGCUGACGACAACCAUGCACCACCUGUGCACGGCCCUUGCGGACCCACCAUCUCUGGAGGAUUUCCGUGCAUGUCAAGCCUAGGUAAGGUUCUUCGCGUUGCAUCGAAUUAAGCAACAUGCUCCGCCGCUUGUGCGGGCCCCCGUCAAUUCCUUUGAGUUUUGGCCUUGCGGCCGUACUCCCCAGGCGGGGCGCUUACUGCGUUAGCGACGGCACUCAGAGGGUCGCUCCCCCAAGCACCUAGUGCCCAUCGUUUACGGCGUGGACUAC
rnacentral:misc_RNA from 1 species